AAUCCUUUUCUCUAUGACUAGGGCCUGAUUGGUUGAUGCGUAUUGAAUAUAAACAAUUAGAAAAAUUAUAAAUGACGGAAUAAUUGUAAUUCCAGAUGGAUAACCUGGUGACAUUUGGGUCUCUACUUCUUCUCUUUCUUAUCACAGGAUGUUUUGGAGAGUUUCGUUCCUUCAGUUUUGAAAGCAGGGAAGGAUGAUGGAACGUGUGAGAUGGCUUUUGUGGAUAAUUUAACCCCAAAUACUUCACCAC